rnacentral:rRNA from 1 species
UGAGGAAUAUUGGACAAUGGGAGCAAUCCUGAUCCAGCCAUGCCGCGUGCAGGAAGACGGUCCUAUGGAUUGUAAACUGCUUUUAUACAGGAAGAAAAAGGAGUACGUGUACUCUAUUGACGGUACUGUAUGAAUAAGGAUCGGCUAACUCCGUGCCAGCAGCCGCGGUAAUACGGAGGAUCCGAGCGUUAUCCGGAAUUAUUGGGUUUAAAGGGUCCGUAGGCGGGAUAAUAAGUCAGUGGUGAAAGUUUGUGGCUCAACCAUAAAAAUUGCCAUUGAUACUGUUAUUCUUGAGUUAUUGUGAAGUGGUUAGAAUGUGUAGUGUAGCGGUGAAAUGCAUAGAUAUUACA